AGUGAACGCUGGCGGUAGGCCUAACACAUGCAAGUCGAACGGCAGCACAGUAAGAGCUUGCUCUUACGGGUGGCGAGUGGCGGACGGGUGAGGAAUACAUCGGAAUCUACUUUUUCGUGGGGGAUAACGUAGGGAAACUUACGCUAAUACCGCAUACGACCUACGGGUGAAAGCAGGGGAUCUUCGGACCUUGCGCGAUUGAAUGAGCCGAUGUCGGAUUAGCUAGUUGGCGGGGUAAAGGCCCACCAAGGCGACGAUCCGUAGCUGGUCUGAGAGGAUGAUCAGCCACACUGGAACUGCGACACGGUCCAGACUCCUACGGGAGGCAGCAGUGGGGAAUAUUGGACAAUGGGCGCAAGCCUGAUCCAGCCAUACCGCGUGUGUGAAGAAGGCCUUCGGGUUGUAAAGCCCUUUUGUUGGGAAAGAAAAGCAGCAGGUUAAUACCCCGCUGUUCUGACGGUACCCAAAGAAUAAGCACCGGCUAACUUCGUG
rnacentral:rRNA from 1 species